rnacentral:lncRNA from 1 species
GUUUGGAACGUUUUCGUUCGACGAUAAAGUUCGUUUAAAAUUGAGUAUAUUACUUCCUGUUUUUCCGAGCGCGUCACUUCCUGUUUUUCCGAGCACAUCACUUCCUGUUUUUUGCGCAUCACUUCCUGUUUGCUGAGCGCAUCACUUCUGGUUGUCAGACCAGGAAAAGCGAGGAAGCCACAUGGCCAGAAGCACAAGGAUCUCAUUGCAUCCACAGCUAAGGACUGAGAAAUCAAUGUCGGUCGCAGGGAGCCAGAGCCUAACCCGGCAACUCAGGGCGUAAGGCUGGAGGGGGAGGGGACACACCCAGGACGGGACACCAGUCUGUUGCAAGGCACCCCAAGCAGGACUCAAACCCCAGACCCACCGGAGAGCAGGACCCGGUCCAACCCACUACACCACCACGCCCCCUACCAGCUAGAGUUAAAAUUACUUUUUACUCUACAGAUUUCAGACCAUUGCUGUUACCAACAAGUUCCAACCCAUUUUAACACCUUUGCUAAAAUGGUACAUCCUCUUGCAAGUCUGGGCACUUCCAUGAAUCAGCAUAAAGCUUAUUCAAACUCAUUUCUUUUGUUUUGUAGUGAGGAAAGAAAAAGCAACAUUCUGCAGAGGCAGCUUGGAAAAGCACCAAAGACAAAGGAAAGUGAGUUUUGGAGUAUGACAAAUAUAGUUGUUUACAGAGACAGUAAUUGGAUUUUUUACCCACAAAUAGGGAUUUUUUUUUUUUACCUAAGAUACUGAAACUAUCAGCAGUAGCAACAUCACCUAACACUGUGCUUCUGCAUGCACUUACAAACAUCAUGUUGUGAUCUUGAACUUGAAAAUGGUUUUGUGUUCCUAGAGGACUAUGUAGGUGGUGACACAGGGACAGCUUAGUCUUUUGCAGUGUAUCUCCUGCUAGAAAGAAGUUGUGAGGGUUCUGACGUUAGUCAAAACUGCUUUUCACAUGUACUGACUGCAAGUUUUUGACCAGUUUUCCUUUUAAAAUAGAAUAAAAUGUUGUAUGUGUCCCCCUAGAUGGAACCA